rnacentral:rRNA from 1 species
CCUACGGGAGGCAGCAGUGAGGAAUAUUGGUCAAUGGGCGGAAGCCUGAACCAGCCAAGUCGCGUGAGUGAAGAAGUAUUUCGGUAUGUAAAGCUCUAUCAGCAGGGAAGAAAGGAAUGACGGUUCCUGACUAAGAAGCCCCGGCUAACUACGUGCCAGCAGCCGCGGUAAUACGUAGGGGGCAAGUGUUAUCCGGAUUUACUGGGUGUAAAGGGAGCGUAGACGGUUACGCAAGUCUGGAGUGAAAGGCGGGGGCCCAACCCCCGGACUGCUUUGGAAACUGUAGAACUGGAGUGCAGGAGAGGUAAGUGGAAUUCCUAGUGUAGCGGUGAAAUGCGUAGAUAUUAGGAGGAACACCAGUGGCGAAGGCGGCUUACUGGACUGUAACUGACGUUGAGGCUCGAAAGCGUGGGGAGCAAACAGGAUUAGAUACCCCAGUAGUC